GAUGAACGCUAGCGGCAGGCUUAAUACAUGCAAGUCAAGGGGGUAGCAAUACAACCGGCGCACGGGUGAGUAACGCGUACACAACAUACCAUAUACUGGAGUAUAGCUUUGGGAAACUGAAGGUAAUCCUCCAUAACAUUGCGAGAGGGCAUCUGAUUGCAAUUAAAGUUCCGACGGUAUAUGAUUGGUGUGCGUUUGAUUAGCUAGUUGGUAGGGUAACGGCCUACCAAGGCGACGAUCAAUAGCUGGAGUGAGAGCGCGACCAGCCACACUGGAACUGAGACACGGUCCAGACUCCUACGGGAGGCAGCAGUAGGGAAUAUUGGACAAUGGGCGAAAGCCUGAUCCAGCCAUGCCGCGUGAUAGAUGAAGGCCCUCUGGGUUGUAAAGCACUUUCAGUGGGGAAGAACAGAUUCGGGUCAAUACCCCGGAGCCCUGACGUUACCCACAGAAGAAGACACCGGCUAACUCCGUGCCAGCAGCC
rnacentral:rRNA from 1 species